CAGACGCUUUCUUCCUUCUGUACUCACAACCGAUGCCUGGUUCCAUUUUUUGGAAUCUGGACAUAGCUCGAGAACUCAUUCGCUAUCCGCAUUCCUUCAUAGUCCAAGUCUGCUUCUGACGCAAUUCAUGGUGUUAUUUUGGAGGGUUUGAACUGGUGUGACGAUUGGAGAAGAGAGCUAGUCCUCUAUCCUCGUAAUUACCUUUUGAAACGUCACAAUGAGAAGGCAGCACUUGAAGCAUGGAGGAGGGGGAGGAAUAAGUAGGAUGAUGAUUAAGUUGUCAGUUGCUGUUGCGGUGCUAUUGAUUUGUACAGUCUCGUUGUUGUUCUCAUCAACAUUCACUACUAGUGUUAAAUCCAACGACUCGAC